UUCACAGUUAUCGUUUACAUACAGUAGUUGUUUCUUACUUUAUUGUGAGUUUCUAAAAAGGCCCCGGCGGCACCUAGUUGCUGGGGCCUUUUACGUGCCCGCAGCUGAUUUCAGCUACCAUACGUAUAACUACCAUUAGGGAUAAGGGCAGGAAGAAGAAGAGCUACCAUAUGUAUAAGUAACACCUAAUUAUUUGGUUUCCAAGAGAGAAAAGUUGUUGGAAUAUAGGUAGUCCUGCCAUGGAAGAACUCCGCCCCGCCCGGCUGUACGCUACACCCAUCCGGCCCACCCAGCCAUCCGUCUCUUGCGGUUUUUAACAUUAUCACUAAUUCAUUGAGCUCAAGGAGCUCAACCACCACUGUUUCACGGCACUCUGAUUUUUCUGGAUGGUAGUACUUUAACCAUUAUAAGGAUACCUACAGAAAAAUUGGUUUCUUAAAAAAUAGAUAGUAUGGAAAGUAAUGCUAUACUUACAUUAAACGCAAUAUAUCGUAA